rnacentral:rRNA from 1 species
AGAGUUUGAUCCUGGCUCAGGAUGAACGCUAGCGGCGUGCCUAACACAUGCAAGUCGAACGUGAUAGAGACUUCGGUCUCUUGAAAGUGGCGGACGGGUGAGUAAGACGUAGGUGACCUGCCUCGGAGUGGGGGAUAACCACUGGAAACGGUGGCUAAUACCGCAUGACUUAUCGUGAAUGGGAAUUGCGAUAAGAAAGCUUUAGUGCUUUGAGAGGGGCCUACGGCCGAUUAGCUAGUUGGUAAGGUAACGGCUCACCAAGGCGAUGAUCGGUAGCUGGUCUGAGAGGACGAUCAGCCACACGGGAACUGAGACACGGUCCCGACUCCUACGGGGGGCAGCAGUGAGGAAUAUUCGGCAAUGGAGGCAACUCUGGCCGAGCAACGCCGCGUGGAGGAUGACGGUUUUUGGAUUGUAAACUCCUUUUCGGUGGGAAGAGUGAGGACGGUACCACCGGAAUAAGUCACGGCUAACUACGUGCCAGCAGCCGCGGUAAUACGUAGGUGGCAAGCGUUAUCCGGAAUUACUGGGCGUAAAGCGCACGCAGGUGGCUUUUUAAGUCUGACGUGAAAGCUCCUGGCUUAACUGGGAGAAGUCGUUGGAGACUGGGAGGCUUGAGGCGAGGAGAGGGGUGUAGAAUUCCCGGUGUAGUGGUGGAAUGCGUAGAGAUCGGGAGGAAUACCAGAGGCGAAAGCGGCACCCUGGCCUUGGCCUGACGCUCAGGUGCGAAAGCGUGGGGAGCGAACGGGAUUAGAUACCCCGGUAGUCCACGCGGUAAACGAUGAAUACUAGGUGUAGGUGGUGUCAAAACUAUCUGUACCGCAGCCAACGCGAUAAGUAUUCCGCCUGGGGAGUACGACCGCAAGGUUAAAACUCAAAGGAAUUGACGGGGCCCGCACAAGCAGCGGAGCGUGUGGUUUAAUUCGAUGCAACGCGAGAACCUUACCUAGGUUUGACGUAGUGGUAGUAGUGAGGUGAAAGCGGAACGACCCUUCGGGGAGCCAUUACAGGUGCUGCAUGGCUGUCGUCAGCUCGUGUCGUGAGAUGGUGGGUUAAGUUCCCGCAACAGGCGCAACCCUCGUCGCUAGGUAUACGUGUUCUAGCGAGACCGCCGGUAUCAACCCGAAGAAGGUGGGGAUGACGUCAAGUCAGCAUGGCCUUUAUAUCCGGGGCUACACACACGCUACAAUGGUCGGUACAAUGGGCAGCCAAACCGCGAGGUGGAGCGAAUCUCAUCAAAGCCGAUCGUAGUUCAGAUUGUAGGCUGCAACCCGCCUGCAUGAAGCCGGAGUUGCUAGUAAACGCAGGUCAGCAUUACUGCGUUGAAUACGUUCCCGGGCCUUGUACACACCGCCCGUCACGUCAUGGAAGUCGGUAACACCUGAAGUCGGUGACCCAACCGCAAGGAGGGAGCUGCCUAGGGUGGGGCCGAUGACUGGGACGAAGUCGUAACAAGGUAACC